GACUGGGGUGAAGUCGUAACAAGGUAACCGUAGGGGAACCUGCGGUUGGAUCACCUCCUUACCUGAAAGAAGC
rnacentral:rRNA from 3 species